rnacentral:rRNA from 1 species
UAGGGAAUCUUCCGCAAUGGACGCAAGUCUGACGGAGCAACGCCGCGUGAGUGAAGAAGGUUUUCGGAUCGUAAAACUCUGUUGUUAGAGAAGAACAAGUGCUAGAGUAACUGUUAGCACCUUGACGGUAUCUAACCAGAAAGCCACGGCUAACUACGUGCCAGCAGCCGCGGUAAUACGUAGGUGGCAAGCGUUGUCCGGAUUUAUUGGGCGUAAAGCGAGCGCAGGCGGUUCCUUAAGUCUGAUGUGAAAGCCCCCGGCUCAACCGGGGAGGGUCAUUGGAAACUGGGGAACUUGAGUGCAGAAGAGGAGAGUGGAAUUCCAUGUGUAGCGGUGAAAUGCGUAGAUAUAUGGAGGAACACCAGUGGCGAAGGCGACUCUCUGGUCUGUAACUGACGCUGAGGCUCGAAAGCGUGGGUAGCAAACAGG